rnacentral:rRNA from 1 species
UACGGAGGGGGCUAGCGUUGUUCGGAAUUACUGGGCGUAAAGCGCGCGUAGGCGGCUUUGUAAGUUAGAGGUGAAAGCCCGGAGCUCAACUCCGGAACUGCCUUUAAGACUGCAUCGCUAGGAUUGUGGAGAGGUGAGUGGAAUUCCGAGUGUAGAGGUGAAAUUCGUAGAUAUUCGGAAGAACACCAGUGGCGAAGGCGACUCACUGGACACAUAUUGACGCUGAGGUGCGAAAGCGUGGGGAGCAAACAGG